GAUGAACGCUGGCGGCGUGCCUAAUACAUGCAAGUCGAGCGAACAGACGAGGAGCUUGCUCCUCUGACGUUAGCGGCGGACGGGUGAGUAACACGUGGAUAACCUACCUAUAAGACUGGGAUAACUUCGGGAAACCGGAGCUAAUACCGGAUAACAUGUUGAACCGCAUGGUUCAAUAGUGAAAGACGGUUUUGCUGUCACUUAUAGAUGGAUCCGCGCCGCAUUAGCUAGUUGGUAAGGUAACGGCUUACCAAGGCAACGAUGCGUAGCCGACCUGAGAGGGUGAUCGGCCACACUGGAACUGAGACACGGUCCAGACUCCUACGGGAGGCAGCAGUAGGGAAUCUUCCGCAAUGGGCGAAAGCCUGACGGAGCAACGCCGCGUGAGUGAAGAAGGUCUUCGGAUCGUAAAACUCUGUUAUUAGGGAAGAACAAAUGUGUAAGUAACUAUGCACGUCUUGACGGUACCUAAUCAGAAAGCCACGGCUAACUACGUG
rnacentral:rRNA from 1 species